UACGAAGGGGACUAGCGUUGUUCGGAUUUACUGGGCGUAAAGCGCGCGUAGGCGGAUCACUAAGUCAGGGGUGAAAUCCCGAGGCUUAACCUCGGAACUGCCUUUGAUACUGAUGAUCUGGAGAUUGGGAGAGGUUGGUGGAAUUCCGAGUGUAGAGGUGAAAUUCGUAGAUAUUCGGAGGAACACCAGAAGCGAAGGCGGCCAACUGGCCCAAUACUGACGCUGAGGCGCGAAAGCGUGGGGAGCAAAC
rnacentral:rRNA from 1 species